UCUAUUCUUCCCUUCUUCCUUGAUUCUUCCCUUCUCCUUACCUCUCAUUUACCUAUUCACUCUUUUCCUAUGAUUAUACACCCCUAGAUCUAUUGGAUUUUAUCAAUUUCUAUCACUCUUUGUCAUUCUCGCUCUUAUCCCCAAAUUCUUCUUCUUCUUAAAUUCUAUGAAUUCUUCAUCCUUCAUCUUCUUCGCUCGUCCAGAUCCCCUAAACCAUAGCUAUUGAUUUCGUUGGCCAAGAACCCCAAAACAUCUUCGUCGCAGAAGCUUUUGGCCGGAGUGGAGUGGUUUAUGUUCUGAUGAUGCUUUUCAUGCCCUCCAGGUGUUCGACGAAUUGCCUCAUUAUUGGCUUGGUUGUUUCUUAACUGUUUUGUGUUGAUUUAGGUUUUGUGUUGUUGCUGUUAAAACUUGCAGGUGCUUACCGUUUCGUUUGUUUCUAUACAACGGUUUUAUGCACUCCACAGAGUCUUACUUAGUAGACAUGUUUUGUUUUUGUUGUUGUGAGGGUGUCUUGAUUUUGGUUUCCAAGUGAGUUUGAAUAAAUUUGUGGCAAAAAGUUUCAGAAAACAA